UACAGAGGUCUCAAGCGUUGUUCGGAUUCAUUGGGCGUAAAGGGUGCGUAGGCGGCGCGGUAAGUCGGGUGUGAAAUCUUCGGAGCUUAACUCCGAAACUGCAUUCGAUACUGCCGUGCUUGAGGACUGGAGAGGAGACGUGGAAUUUACGGUGAGCGGUGAAAUGCGUAGAUAUCGAUAAGGAAGACCAGUGGCGAAGG
rnacentral:rRNA from 1 species